GAUGAACGCUAGCGGCAGGCCUAACACAUGCAAGUCGAGGGGCAGCAUAGAAGUACUUCGGUACUUUUGAUGGCGACCGGCGCACGGGUGCGUAACGCGUAUGCAACCUACCAUUAACAGGGGGAUAAUUCGGAGAAAUCUGGUCUAAUACCCCAUAAUAUUACCUAAGGCAUCUUGGGUAGUUGAAAGUUCCGGCGGUUAAUGAUGGGCAUGCGUUGUAUUAGUUAGUUGGUGAGGUAACGGCUCACCAAGGCUACGAUACAUAGGGGGACUGAGAGGUUAACCCCCCACACUGGUACUGAGACACGGACCAGACUCCUACGGGAGGCAGCAGUGAGGAAUAUUGGUCAAUGGACGCAAGUCUGAACCAGCCAUGCCGCGUGCAGGAAGACGGCUCUACGAGUUGUAAACUGCUUUUGUACGAGGGUAAUUGCAGAUACGUGUAUCUGUUUGAAAGUAUCGUACGAAUAAGGAUCGGCUAACUCCGUGCCAGCAGCCGCAGUAACAC
rnacentral:rRNA from 1 species